GGAUCCUGAUCAGCACUGUCUCAGGGAGGGACUCCAUCCUUGGGCUGGCUGCCUGGAGCCUGUGGAGAAGGAAAGGAGAAAAGAGUGGUGACAGAGUGGCCCUGGAGACAUGGGUUGCCUCAGCCUCAGUGAGGUCAAGCACUGGUGCAGCAGAGUAGAAGGGAAAGCAAGCCUGGGAUCUGAAAGCAGGGGCUGAGGGGCAGAGAUUGCUUCCCUAACUUCAAGGCCUCCUCACUCCUGUUAAUACCUGAAGUAGGUGAGCAGAUGAAUAUUUCAUGUUCUGUGUGAAGCCCUCAGUUAAAUCCAUCCACAAAAUGCAAGCAGUUGACAUUUGCAACUGUGGACAGUUUGUCAGCUUCCCAGGCUGAAAGGAGUCCUUCCAGAAAUCUCUGCUGCUGCAGAGGCAAUGACCUCCUUGGCAGAAGGUGCUUGUUCUGCCUUGAAGAACAUCACUGACAACAAGCAGUGCAGAGGAGGACUGAAAUAGCAGAACUGAAACAAAACUCCACUGAUCUUCUCCACUAUAUUUUUUCUGUAGCUUUAGAACCUAAGCAGUUAAGGUUCAGAACUUCAUCUGCUGAUUCUGUGUUCUGACAGUUCUCUGCUGCCCUGAGCUCCAGGGCUGGGUGCUGUAGGAGCGAUGAAGGUGCAGAGUCAGCGCCUGUGGCACCACUCUGCUGUCCUCCCAGCUGAGUACUGGUGCUGAGAAGCUGCUGAGACUGCAGCAAACAGAAGCAGCUAAACUCUUCAGGAGGAAAGCACUCGGUCCGGUUGCCGCCCGGGGAUUUUUUGUGGCUCACCCCCGCAGCCUGCCGCCGGUCCGUGAUGACAUCCAUUUGCGACCUCCCCGAGGAUGUCCUGGUGGAGCUGCUGUCGCUGCUGCCGGCCCGGGAUCUGGUCUGCACCUGCAGGCUGGUCUGCACGCAGUGGCGGUACGUGGUGGACCUGACCACCCUGUGGAAGCGCAAGUGCCAGCGGGAGGGCUUCUAUCUUCAGAACUUGGACAGGAGAAUCUCUGACUGGAAGACCUUCUACAUGCUCUGCCGCUUGAAGAGAAACUUAGUCAAAAACCCCUGCGCAGAAGAGCAACUUCUGUACUGGAAACUUGACAGUAAUGAAGGAGAUAGAUGGAAGAUUGAGAAUCUGCCUGGAACUCAUGGGCAAAGCAUGCCAGACCCCAGAGUACACAAAUACUUUGUCACUUCAUAUGGGCCCUGCCUGAAGUCUCAGCUCAUCACUCUGAAGAAGGAGGGAUACUGGAAUGAGCUGAUGGAUGAGAAACGGCCUGAAAUUGUAGUCAAGGACUGGUAUGCUGCUAGAUUUGACUGUGGGUGUCGCUAUGAACUCACCGUCCAGCUGCUCUCUGAAGACUACCUUGUCCUGGAGGAGUUCUGUCCCGAGCCAGUAGUUAUAGAGCAGUGGAGUGAUGCAAUGUGGAGAGAGGUCUCUCACACCUUCCGGAACUACCCCCCUGGAGUUCGCUACAUCUUGUUUCGGCACGGGGGCCAAGACACCCAGUUCUGGGCAGGGUGGUACGGGGUCCGAGUGACCAACAGCAGCAUCACCAUUGGGCCCCUGACGUCGCUAUGAGGGCACGACCCCAGGGUUUGCUUUUACCUCAGGACUGCAACCAGGUGGUCUCAGCUUGCUCAGGCAGCCAAGGGCACUGCUCACCUUUAUGACCUGGAUCUUCUCCAUGUUCCGUGUGGCUGCCUCCCGUGUGUGAACCAGAACCGUGAAGGUGCAGCCUGCAAGAGGUGGCAAGCUCCAGCUCGGGGCACAGCUAGCAGAGGAUGGGACACUGCCUCUGUCCCAGGCCUAGCAAUCCUAUGGCCGUGUGAACAUCUUUACCUGGGGGGUUGUUGUCAAGCACAGCAUCGCAGACGCUGAUCUUCAAGAUGAAGGCACGCAGUAGCUGCUCCACGUGGGACAGCAGGGACUCGGAACUGUUGGGGGCAGCCACUGUUAGUAGCACGCAGCAAGGCGCCAGGGCCCGGAGGUCUCUGCAGAGACAGGCACAGAGGCCACAGGCCGGCAGUGGUAGAAGCUUUACCUGAUGGAAAGGAGAGGUGGCUGCGUGAUCUCAAAGACAAAUCUCUCCACGGGGUGGUGCUCUUUGUCCAGGAUUACAACCACGACUUUCUCCACAUCGUUCUGCGAGAACAAAGAUAGAGAAAUCCCUUCAUUAAAACAAGCUCUCAUCUGCCCCCACCGUGCUUCACAGGCUUCUGAUGAAGUGGGAGUAGGCUCAUUUGUUGUGGCUCACAGCACUAGCAGUUAUCCAGAGCUUCAGCACACUCAGACUACUCACUGAUCAGAAAAAAAUGCUGCUGCAAAGCCAUUUCUUGGUAGAUAUUAAACUGACAGUUUAUGGCUGAGGCCUAGGGAGAUGAAGUGCACUAAGUAGCACAUUUCUAUAGAUACUGCUCUGGAACAAAGGAGCAAAUGUGCAGCCACCUCACUUUAUCACUUGGGACUGGACAACGAUGAGGAAGUUAAGCUUAUACCAUUUGCCAAAUACAGCAGCUCUGCACUGCCCAACACACUCUAAACUGUUUUUAUUCCCUAAACAUCCGUUAAGGUGGUCUGUAAAAAGCAGGGAAUGCCAAAUCUGCCUGCAUCCUGCAAUGUGGACACACCUUUCUCUCAUAAAACCUAGAGUUCAGUCCUACCUCUGCUUGCUGGCUUAUGGCAAAGCACUGAAACCAUUCUGCCAGAGGUGCUUAACCUAAGCAUUCUGCUUCUGAAUACAGCUAACGUGUAGGGUGACGUCACUGAAAAUGCACAGGUGGAGAUCCUCCCAGGCAGGUAUCAGAUGCAACCAAAUGCCAGUGAUCAGCAAGGCAGGGCCCUACCUGCAAGGAAAGGUGAUGGAUGUUGCUUCUGUUAGUUACUGCUUUUGUUAGUCACUUUUUGAGCUGGUGUCUUGUACAUGGUGGAUGUUUAACUGCAUCUUGCAGUGAAGGUGGUACCUAUGUUCUCUUACUUUCUACCCAGCCCAUUUGAGUAUUGUUGCCCAGGUCUCACCUUCUCAAGCAGAGGCUUUACACAGUGCAGUGUAUCCUGGAUGUACUGGUUCAGUUCUGGGUGGCAGGACAUCUGCAGCAAACACAGGGAACAGUCACAGCUGUGCUCUGAUGGGAACCAGGACACUGCUAGGUGGGAAUAUUGGAGCAGAAGCACCAGGGUGGCACAUGGUACUUGAGCUCUGCUUCAAAUAGCAGGUUUUAAUCACUAAGUCAUCAAUUCCUUCAUGGAAGGGCUCAUAAGCUGAGGCAGAUCACUGUACCCACAGCUGCAGUAUUCUGGAAUGUAUAUCCACAGAAGGCUAUUGGGAAUAGGACAUCCCAACCAGCUCUACUCCCUAGGAAGCAUGCUUUCGUGUUACCUUGCUGCUCAUAGCUGGGGCAGCCGCCUACUACUGUUGUCCAUGAUCUGCUUGCUCCAAGAGUACUGCUGUAUCCUCAACUACAGGGCUGCUGUCCCCUUUGACAGGAGCUAAGUUCUCUUCAAAAAUGAGUUUGCACAUUAAAACAAACUCUGGCAGUGACUUAA